UCCCUGUGUCGCGACUGGCGCAGGCAAGGUGGAAUCGACCACCGGGGAGCGACACCGAGACCGACCACGAGGACACGGACACCGCGCGCCUGGGUGCCUGGG
rnacentral:ncRNA from 2 species